UCUCCGUUGGUGAACCAGCGGAGGGAUCAUUACAGGGCUCGCAAGACUCCUACAACCCUGUGAACUUAACUAUAAGCACGUUGCUUCGGCGGGUGUCUCGGAGGGGGUUCUCCCUCCCCGAGACGCUAAACCCGCCGGCAGCCUACUAUACUCUGUCUCUUUGCGUUGGCAUCUCGAGUACAAUCAAACAAGUUAAAACUUUCAACAACAGAUCUCUUGGUUCUG
rnacentral:misc_RNA from 1 species